CAAUUUUGCAGAUUAACACUGGAGUGAUAAAUGAUCAGAUGGUCAUGUACAGGUAGAGAUAUUGGUGUGCAAAAUAGCAGAAAAGUAAAUAAAUAAAAACAGUAUGGGGAUGAGGUAGGUAAAAUUGGGUGGGCCAUCUACCGAUAGACUAUGUACAGCUGCAGCGAUCGGUUAGCUGCUCAGAUAGCAGAUGUUUGAAGUUGGUGAGGGAAAUAAAAGUCUCCAACUUCAGCGAUUUUUGCAAUUCGUUCCAGUCACAGGCAGCAGAGAACUGGAAUGAAAGGCGGCCAAAUGAGGUGUUGGCUUUAGGGAUGAUCAGUGAGAUACACCUGCUGGAGCGCGUGCUACGGGUGGGUAUAGAGGUAUGGGACUGUAGGUGGAGGUAAAGAGGUAUGGGACUGUAGGUGGAGGUAUAGAGGUAUGGGACUGUAGGUGGAGGUAGAGAGGUAUGGGACUGUAGGUGGAGGUAAAGAGGUAUAGAGGUAUGUGACUGUAGGUGGAGGUAAAGAGGUAUGGGACUGUAGGUGGAGGUAGAGAGGUAUGUGACUGUAGGUGGAGGUAAAGAGGUAUGGGACUGUAGGUGGAGGUAGAGAGGUAUGGGACUGUAGGUGGAGGUAGAGAGGUAUGUGACUGUAGGUGGAGGUAGUAUGUGACUGUAGGUGGAGGUAGUAUGUGACUGUAGGUGGAGGUAGUAUGUGCCUGUAGGUGAAGGUAAAGAGGUAUGGGACUGUAGGUGGAGGUAGAGAGGUAUGGGACUGUAGGUGGAGGUAGAGAGGUAUGGGACUGUAGGUGGAGGUAGAGAGGUAUGGGACUGUAGGUGGAGGUAGAGAGGUAUGGGACUGUAGGUGGAGGUAGAGAGGUAUGUGACUGUAG
ensembl:lncRNA